rnacentral:rRNA from 1 species
AAUUCCGCGUGUGUGAAGAAGGCCUUCGGGUUGUAAAGCACUUUAGUGGGGGAAGAAACAGCUUGGCCACACCAAGCCUUGACGGUACCCCAAGAAUAAGCACCGGCUAACUCUGUGCCAGCAGCCGCGGUAAUACAGAGGGUGCAAGCGUUAAUCGGAUUUACUGGGCGUAAAGGGUGCGUAGGUGGUUUUUUAAGUCGGAUGUGAAAGCCUGGGGCUUAACCUCAGAAUUGCAUUCGAUACUGGGAAACUAGAGUUCGGUAGAGGGCGGCGGAAUUUCCGGUGUAGCGGUGAAAUGCGUAGAUAUCGGAAGGAACAUCAAUGGCGAAGGCAGCCGCCUGGGCCUGGACUGACACUGAGGCACGAAAGCGUGGGUAGCAAACAGGAUUAGAUACCCUGGUAGUCCACGCCGUAAACGAUGAGAACUUGACGUUGGUUCGUUUUACGAAUCGGUGUCGCAGCUAACGCGAUAAGUUCUCCGCCUGGGGAGUACGGCCGCAAGGUUGAAACUCAAAGGAAUUGACGGGGGCCCGCACAAGCGGUGGAGUAUGUGGUUUAAUUCGAUGCAACGCGAAGAACCUUACCUGGUCUUGACAUCUACGGAAGUCUGCAGAGAUGCGGAUGUG